rnacentral:rRNA from 1 species
GUCCUAGCUGUAAACGAUGGACACUAGGUGUUGGCUCCGUUCAGGAGUCAGUGCCGCAGGUAACCCGAUAAGUGUCCCACCUGAGGAGUACGGCCGCAAGGUUGAAACUCAAAGGAAUUGACGGGGGCCAGCACAAGCGGUGGAACAUGUGGUUCAAUUCGAUGCUACGCGAAGAACCUUACCCAGGCUUGACAUGCUUGAAGUAGGAACCUGAAAGGGUAACGACUCGUAACCAGUCGAGAACUUGCACAGGUGCUGCAUGGCUGUCGU